GACACGGUCCAGACACCUACGGGUGGCAGCAGUCGAGAAUUUUUCUCAAUGGGGGAAACCCUGAAGGAGCGACGCCGCGUGGAGGAUGAAGGCUUUCGGGUUGUAAACUCCUGUCAUUUGGGAACAAGUUAGUGCGGUUAACUGCCGCAUUAUUGAUAGUACCAGAAGAGGAAGAGACGGCUAACUCUGUGCCAGCAGCCGCGGUAAUACAGAGGUCUCAAGCGUUGUUCGGAUUCAUUGGGCGUAAAGGGUGCGUAGGUGGCGCGCUAAGUCAGGUGUGAAAUUUCGGAGCUUAACUCCGAAACUGCAUUUGAUACUGGCGUGCUUGAGGACUGGAGAGGAGACUGGAAUUCACGGUGUAGCAGUGAAAUGCGUAGAGAUCGUGAGGAAGACCAGUGGCGAAGGCGGUCUCUGGACAUU
rnacentral:rRNA from 1 species